AUUGAACGCUGGCGGCAGGCCUAACACAUGCAAGUCGAGCGGCAGCGGGAAAGUAGCUUGCUACUUUUGCCGGCGAGCGGCGGACGGGUGAGUAAUGCCUGGGGAUCUGCCCAGUCGAGGGGGAUAACUACUGGAAACGGUAGCUAAUACCGCAUACGCCCUACGGGGGAAAGCAGGGGACCUUCGGGCCUUGCGCGAUUGGAUGAACCCGGGUGGGAUUAGCUAGUUGGUGAGGUAAUGGCUCACCAAGGCGACGAGCCCUAGCUGGUCUGAGAGGAUGAGCAGCCACACUGGAACUGAGACACGGGCCAGACUCCGACGGGAGGCAGCAGUGGGGAAUAUUGCACAAUGGGGGAAACCCUGAUGCAGCCAUGCCGCGUGUGUGAAGAAGGCCUUCGGGUUGUAAAGCACUUUCAGCGAGGAGGAAAGGUUGGUAGCUAAUAACUGCCAGCUGUGACGUUACUCGCAGAAGAAGCACCGGCUAACUCCGUGCCAGCCGCCGCAGUAA
rnacentral:rRNA from 1 species